rnacentral:misc_RNA from 1 species
UUUUUUUUUUUUUUUUUUUGUGGCAUAAGCGUUUGGGUCAUACAUCCAAAAAAAUAUUAGAGGUUGGUAAAGAAUGAGAUUCUACCAAGUCUAGAUUUUACAGAUCCUGAUGUGUGAGUGCAUUACAAUAAGGGAAAGUAAACCAAACACAAUAAAAAAGAAGUCACAAGAAGCAGUCAGCUUCUUAAAAUUAUACACACUUAAUUAGGUUUGGCAUUUCUAAGGACCCUAUCUUUCUUGGUUGAAGAAGUGGUUUCCUAGGUUUCAAGCAUCUGCUUAUUUGUUUGAAGUCUAUUGAUAUUGGCUGAAUGAUUGCUUGCAUCCUGUUUGGUGCAACUUUCGAGCGUUUAUGCUUUGUUGAGUGAGCUGUGGCUACUGAUGGUAGCUGACGAUAGGGGUGUAAACGAUAAAUUAAACAACAUUUACAUGUGUUAUAUUGU